AAAGUUUUAAAAGAAUACAAGGAAAGUUGAUCGUAUGCAUUGACAAUUUCGGCUGGAAGACUAUUCCAGGAUACAACUCCGCAGUAUCAAAAGCUAUUCUUCAUAUAGUUUGUGUUUGGUUUGUUUAACUGUGGUUCAAAUAAAGUUUUCGAUCAUUACUUCUCAGUUGAUACGUGUCAUUAUGACUGACGACUAACAGGUCUACACUAUAUAUACUGACUGUAUAUGUUUUGUUUUUCUGAAGACGUGGCGUUUAUUCUAUAUCCGCAAACUUAGUUGAUUAUCAACAGACAUUUCUUAUAAUGACGCGGCCCACAUGCAUCAUGCCCCCUCUAGUCUGUGUGCGUAGC